AUUACUAGUAAAAGUGGUGAAAUCUUGUAUCGCAUUUUACCAUGGGCCAAGUAUGUGGUUCGUGAAAGUGACAAUGUGAAUUAUGAUUGGAUACACUGGGAUCCAGAAGACCAUAUAAAGGACCCCAACGCUCUAGUUGUUGACACUUGGCGCCCGAACAGUGACCCUGAAGGAUUGUCAAGAAUGGAUCCCAAUGAAAGAGCAAUGGAAUGAGACCAUCUCCAGGAAUCGGCUCAUGGAAUGGGGGAGAUGAUAGAAUUGCCGAUCCAUGCAUCGCAUUUUUGAGAUUUCCUGCCCAAGUUCAGACACAUUUGUGGAAAGCUGCUGCUGCCUUGAAGCCUGUCUAUCUAACGAAUGGCACAUUUUCUGGAACUGCUUCCUCUGCCUCCUCCUAUUAUUUCACAUUGUUUAAAAAAUAUAAUAUAACUACUUGUUUGCUCUUGCCCUAUGUGUUUUUGAUUGGAAAUUUUAUAUUUGAUCAAGGAAUUCAAUGUAUACAAUGUCAGUUGUAUUCUUGCUUGAAUUCAUCUGUUAAGUUUAAAGAUGGUUUUUCAUUAAUGAUUUUGUAACAACGUACUCAUGUUUGGUUACCAGUGAAUUUGGAAAGAACCUGGUCGCAUAAUCCUGUAGAUACUUUGGUUUUAGAAUUUUUUUGAAAAGUUGUUAAAGAGAACAAAAAGAAUGGUCGGGAUUGUUGUGGCUGUAAUUCUUAGUUUAAUAGCAGUAACUAUAGUUGCUACUGUGUCUGGCAUAGCCUUACAUACUUCCUUGCAGACAAAGCAUUUUGUUGAACAAUGGCAUAAAGACUCUCGUGAUCUAUGGCUAUCUCAAGUCCAGAUUGAUUCUAGAUUACAAACUCAGAUAGAUAUUUUAAAACAAAUUGUAAGUUGGCUUGGCAAAAAGAUGUUGACUUUGGAAAGACAAAUUUGGCUGAAAUGUGAUUAGAAUUCAACAACCUUUUGUGUUACAAAUUUAAAAUAUAAUGAAUCCUUACAUGAUUGGUCUUUAAUUCAAAAAUACUUGGAUGGUAAUACCUCCACUUCUGAUAUGAUUAAUACUUUGCAAUUUAUCCAUGAGGUAUUUGGGCGACAGUUUGAGAAUGAAGAUGCCUCCACAAUUGCAGAACUAUUUUUAAAACAACUUGAAGGUCUUGAUCCUAAAGAAAUUAUUCAAAAUUUAUCCCAUACUGAAGGAGGAGUUGGGAUCAUUUGAUAAUUAUCCUUGUGGCUCUUUGCCUGGGAUAUUUAUGUUAUAUCCAUCCCAUUCGAGUCAGUGUUAACUUUAUAAAAAGCAAUUGUUUUGAAACAUCAAAAGAAAAAAGAAGGAAAUUGUGGAGAUAUGCCUGUGUAAGCAGUUACUGUGCCU